AUGGCCCGUGUUUGUAUGGAUGUACAACCUCCCCCCUGGUUGUGCAUGAAGUCGAAGUACAUUCACAUGAGCAUGCCGAUUCAAGGGCCGAAACAACCAGGAAAUAAUAUUAAUCUGUAUCUGGGGCUACUUCAAGAGGUGUUAGACAUGUUAUGGAAAACACCGGCCAAGACAUGGGACACCAGCAAAGGCGAGUAUUUCUACAUGAGAGCCACGCUGAUCACGAUGGUGCACGACUAUCUCGGUUACGGAUAUGUCGCAGGCCAGGUGUGCCAUGGAUAUUGCGGAUACACGCGGUGCAUGGAUGAUACGACGUCUCAGCAGCUAACGUCAAGGAAAGAUGGCGGGUCUGGGAAAAUCGUGUACAAGGGGCAUCGAAGAUGGCUCGAUCAAGACAACCCGUGGAGAAACCGUGGAGAUCUAUUCGAUGGUCACGCUGAGCAUCAAGGACCUCCACGUAAGCGGAGCAGCGCCGAAAUCGAUGGGCUGUUCAAAAACUGGGAACAGUGCCCCAUGUCGGGAAAGACGAUGAAAAAGGCGCCGGAGCCGCUGCUGAAGGUAUGGAAGACGAGGUCUGUAUUCUGGGACUUGGAGUACUGGCACAAACUCGACACACCUCAUUGCCUUGAUCAAAUGCAUAUAUGUAAGAAUGUCCUUGAGAGCUUGCUCGCGACACUGAUGAACAUGCCGGAUAAGAACAAG
rnacentral:rRNA from 1 species